rnacentral:lncRNA from 1 species
UGAUUUAAAAAAAAAAAGAAAAAAGAAAAAAACGUUGUGUAACCAUCAAGGUACUAUUGCAGUAUUACAAUCCUGUUUUCCGAUGUGGUUAAAAAACUUCCUUCUAAAUAUUUAAAUUUUAAAAGAAAAAAAGAACCACAAGCUAAACUGAGUAUUUAAUACAUUCUUAGAGUAGAAGGAAUGCAACAAUAAUUAUAAUUUCAUAAUAUAUAUUAGACAUUUAUGUGAAAGAUGUUCCAUUUUUCAAAGAAGUUUCUCCUACUAACUUUUUUCUCUCUCUUCCUUAGAGCAAUAAACAGUAAUUACUACUCUUACAGAUAAGCUGCUCCACUGAGUUGGACAGUAAUUACAUCUUUGUUUCAAGUCUUAUCAUCUCCAAAAACUACCUUUCAUUUCACUGCAGUCUCAUUGCAUUGUUUCACAGUAAAAUUAUACUCCUCAAAUUUGAAGAGCCUGAAUAAAAGCUAGAGGCCCAAGGAUUUUUAGGUACCGAUUUAGUAACAGUGUCUACUUGCACAAACCUUCUAUUUAUUCAGAUUUUAAAAACUGCAAGAAAAGAAAUCUAUCUACAUUAAUGAAAAAGAACUCAGGAAUGAGAUCAUUAAAUAUAACUAACUACAUUUUAAAUACAAAUACCAGGGAUUUCUGAUUAGUGUCAGGUAAAUAUCUAAACUAUCUAUCCCGAUUCUGGUCUUAGGGAAAAAGAUCAGUGACAAUUAUAAACAAGAUGCUUCAUAUUAUCAGGUCCAUUUUUAAAACAAUGAGAUCCUUUGGGACAACCACUUUAGUCUUUCUUUUUAUCACAGAUUUCUAGUCCACUUUGCCUUUGUUUUUAUCAUUGCAGUCUCGUACAGCUUUCUUAGGCCACAUACGGCUAACAAAGGGGGAGAUGAGAGGGUAUAUAUAUGGUUCCAGGAAUUUUUUGUAGACCCAGAGCAGAACUGGAAUGACAAUGCAGGGAAUGCACACCAUUGUCCCAGGCUCGAGAUCCUCAACUGCUGGCAAAUGUGAAGAAAAACCAAAUUAAAGCAUCACAGAUUUACCUAGGUUAAGAUAUUUGAAAAGACUAUUUCUAGAUGGAAGGAAAAACUUCAAUCACGUUUCAUUUUU